CGGUUUACGUUACAGACACGAAAACAAAACCCUUACAACAGUUCCUCUUAAAUUCAAAACGGACCUGAAACGCGAAGGAACCGAGUCGGUGCGGUUCAAACUCGCAGUAAUCAGUCCAUCCUGACGCACGUGUGUUUCCAACAUGUGACCCUCCUCAGUGAGCACCUGCUGCGAGCACAGAAUUAAAACCCUCAGACGGAUCAAACAUGACGUUUUAAAAUCAUCUUUUAUCAACUUCACUUCCCAUCAAAGUUGUGAUUCUGUCUCAGUCCUGCCAACCGCUGAGCCCAAUGAUUCAGGAUUACACUUCAAAUUUAACUGAAAUGUGUCUGAAAUGGUGAGCGCCAAACUGAGCUGAUGUUUCUACGUUCAUCUCCUCUGCAGAACAACAAAGGUCGUUGCCCAUGCGGAUGGCCAGCCAUUUGCCGAUCUUCCCGCGGUGCAUCGUGUCCACCACCCUGAACACUU